GCGGGCGUAACUCAGCGGUAGAGUGUCACCUUGCCAAGGUGGAGGUCGACGGUUCAAAUCCGUUCGCCCGCUCCA
rnacentral:tRNA from 4 species